UACGUAGGGGGCAAGCGUUGUCCGGAUUUAUUGGGCGUAAAGAGCGUGUAGGCGGCCUGAAAGGUCAGCUGUGAAAACUCGAGGCUCAACCUCGAGACGUCGGUUGAAACCAUCUGGCUAGAGUCCGGAAGAGGAGAGUGGAAUUCCCGGGUGUAGCGGUGAAAUGACGCAGAUAUCGGGAAGAACACCCGUGGCUAAGGCGGCUCUCUAGUACGGUACUGACGCUGAGACGCGAAAGCGUGGGGAGCGAACAGG
rnacentral:rRNA from 1 species